AGCAGCCGCGGUAAUUCCAGCUCCAAUAGCGUAUAUUAAAGUUGUUGCAGUUAAAAAGCUCGUAGUUGAAUUUCGGGAUUUGUCAGUUGGUCGGGCUUCACUGUCCGUAUUGACUUGAUGGAUUCUUACCUUCUGAAUAACCAGCAUGCUAUUAAGUUAGUGCGUUGGGGAAGCAGAUCUAUUACCUUGAAAAAAUUGAGUGCUUAAAGCGAGCUAGUGCUUGAAUAGAUUAGCAUGGAAUAAUAAAAUAGGACGGCAUGGUUCUAUUUUGUUGGCUUCUAGGAUCACCGGUAAUGAUUAAUAGGGAUAGUUGGGGGCAUUAGUAUCCAAUUGUCAGAGGUGAAAUUCUUGGAUUUAUUGAAGACUAACUUCUGCGAAAGCAUUUGACCAAGGAUUGUUUUCAUUAAUCAAGAACGAAAGUUAGGGAUCGAAGACGAUCAAGAUACCGUCGUAGUACUUAACCA
rnacentral:rRNA from 1 species